rnacentral:rRNA from 1 species
AUGAACAAACUUGAAAUCCCCCUCCCGGUUUCCUCUCUUCGCACCUCCGCCCUGAACGAUCGACGCUCCGGCAGGCCAAGGUUUUCAGGCGUCGUCUGCGAUUCUCGGUUGUUCCUGUCUCCACGAGUUGGUCGUCCCCAAGGAAUGCGAGUCUGGACUGGAUACACUCCUUCGCUUUUGUUGUGUGAUAAAAGAUUUAUAGCUUAUAAUAUCACAGCAAUGUAUACAACUGUGCAAACAUACUUUAUCUCAGGUUUUAAAACAGUUUCCGCUUAUUUUUCAGUGCCAUUUAGAAGAUGUUGGUGGCCAGAGAACAAAGCAAGUCACCGACCCAUGCUCAAGUUGGACAAUCAAGAAGCUGGUUUGCUACAAAGCUUUGUAGCAUCAAGUAGAUACUUUGGAAUGUUCUCGCAGCCUCCAUCUUCAGAUCAGCAACAGUAG